AAAGACCAACUACGUGCCCGGGUGACGAAUAUGAGAGCCUGACUGAUGGUACUCACUUGCAGGUACACUGCAGCAGAAAGCUUCCUAUAGUUGUCAUUAUCCUUUCUAUGAAGGCUUGGAACCCCAAAGUGACGCUGGAAAUGACAAAGGUAAGUGUUAGAGGAGAAACCAAGUCUAGAACACACCCAUAUAACAUAAUUAGCAAUAUCCACAUAGGAACAAGAAAAUCACACUUACAGGGAAGAAGUCUGUAUCGUAUGCUGCCCAAAAGAAAAUGACCGUCAUAACUGCUAAGUAACUACCCAGGAUGAUACCCGGUGGUAAAGAUCUCCGCAAGUUUCCAACUGUCUGGCAUAGGAGAGGGUUUCACUCUAUCCUUUGAAAUUGUCAUUAUAGUACCUGAAGAAAUGCCAUACAUAUGUUGGCAUUCAUGAAGUAUUUAGGAAAGGUACAUGUGUAAAUUCAUUGGAAACUCGAAGAAGUCAUAUGUAAAAGGUGAAUACAAACCAUCAUUGAGAAUAGCAAUGAUCAGAACCAUGAAGGGUGGGAAGUCGAAGUGCCAUGUGAGUGCCAGUAGCAUGAAACCAAGCUGUCAGUAACAUUGUUGGUAUUGUGUCAUCAUACGUCCUUUGGAUCGGCCAACAUUCCCACAAUAGCAGCAUCUAUUGCAUCUUGAUUUUCAAUCCGGGAUGCUCGAGCUGCCAUUAGAACAACAGUAUCUACGUCCACCCCUUUAACAAAGACCUAAACAAAUAAAUUCAAGAAAGAAGUUGGAACAGGUAUUGCAAUACAGCUAUAUAAGAAGGCUAAGAACCUAACAAGUAACAACUACAACACCAGCAAACCUCUAGAAGAGUCUUGUCAACUGUAAGCUUAUUCAAUGUCAGAGUCCCAGUUUUGUCACUGCAAAGAACAUCCAUGCCUGCCAUUUCUUCAAUUGCCGUCAUCCGUUUAGUGAUAGCACCCUGCAACAUUUAUAUUAGCUCUAAUUCUAACCUUCCUUGGCUUGACAAGCAAGUUGUAAAUUGAGAAGUUACUGCAACUAACCUGCUCAGCCAACCAGUGGGAACCAAUAGCCAUUGUCACAGAUAAAACUGUGGGCAUGGCAAUGGGAAUUCCUCCGAUAAGUAGCACAAGCAGGUUGUCAAUACCAGGGCGGUAACUCCGGUGUUGUAUUGGGUACAUGACUAUGAUCUCUAUGAUCAUUCCCACAGCGAUGGAACAUAUACAGAAAUUCCCAAUUGCAGUCAAGACCUACAUAGCAUAUGGAAAACAAGAGAAACUGAAUCCGAUUCCCACUAUAUCAAACUCUUCAGUUAAAGUUUAUACUUUAGACUUGAGAGAAAAUAAAUCAUCCUAGUGCAAGCAUACCUGUUGAAAAUGACCCUGUUGAUUCGUGCUAUCGACAAGGUGCGCAGCCUUGCCGAAAAAGGUAUGAACACCAGUGGCAAUGACCACCGCUUCAAUCUCUCCUUGUUUGCAUGUAGAACCAGAAUACACACUGUCACCAGGGCUUUUGGUCACAGGAAGUGACUCACCUGUAAGUGAUGACUUCAAAGACCAAAUGCAAAGAAUUAGACUAAACAGCUCCAUUUAAUCAAAUAGUUUUGCGAAAGUGUGAUUGCUAAAGCACCUGAUCAAUUUUCAAUGGAUCACCAUCGAGGAGACGGGCAUCUGCUGGAAGAAUGUCUCCAAGUUUAAUGCUGAUUAUGUCACCAGGAACAAGAAUGGAGUAGUCUCUGAUAGUCUGCAGGUCUGUUACCUUACCAUUGCUAGUUCUGCUAGUCUUCUGAGUUGUGAGUCAUGAGUUCUUCUGCUACUUCCUAACUUUUGCAAUGUCUUGUUUCAGGCAAUUCGGAAACAUAAAUUUGUUGACAUUCUAGAUGAUCCAGGAUCUACUGAUUUCAGUGCCUACGUUGGUUUUGCUUCUAUCAGGCACUCAGCCGAGGAAGCUUCAGGUGUCUCAUCGUGUUACUCUUAGAAUCAUAUUUCUAUUGAUUGGUUGAACUGGAGGUUGAAAAAUUGAAUGUGUUGGUUUAAUCUUAAUGUCUACAGGAGAUGUGUCUGUUCAUGGCCCUAUCACUCAGUCUCAAUUCCUUGGGUCUCUUGGGAUAAAUUUCCGAGUGGAAGCAUUAUUACAGAACUGCACAGAGGAACAAUUUGAAUCUCUCAGGUCAGGGUACUGGCAACUGGUAGGAGAAGGUGAGGUGUUAGAACCAUCUCCAUUACCUUGAUACUAAUCACCUAGUUAUCGAUGGAUCACAUGUAAUGAAGCUCCAUCCCUUUCAGCUAUGCUGGCAGAUCUGUUGCUAUCAUGACCACUUCAAACUGGUCCCCUUUUGUCUCCUAGAGUCUAGGACUCUUUUGGCUGAACUAGGUGGCAUUAGUCCACAUCUUCCCUUUAUAUUUGUACUUCCAAGCCAUUGGCAGGAUAUCAAUGAAUUAUGCAUCUCUAAACUCCUUUCUCUUCUCUCCUCUCUGUAAUUUCCUCCUAACCAGUUUGGUUCUACCAUGAGGCUCCCUUCUGGGAGGGUCCUGACGAAAAAGUUCCCAUCGGAAUGGGUACCCGUUAUUUGGUAAUGGCUUAUUGUGAACAAGAAGCAAAGUGACUUUGAGAGCUGUAGCAUUUAGGUGAGACAUGUUGCUUGUACAUUAGCAAAAAAAAAAAAAAAAAAAAAAAAAAAAAUUAACAAACUAUAGCAACUUGAAGUUUUUCAUAAUCUCAAUUCCAAAUUCAUGUGCAUUUUGUGAUGCGCCAAGAAAUAUGAGGAAAUGUCAAGUUCUGAAAUAACUUGGGUGACCAGCUAUGGUCACUUAUGAGUGACAAACAUUAAUAAAAGAUGAACAAGUGUCAACAAUAAUCAUAAACAAACAUACCAAAUAUCCAAAACCUCAUGUUAUGUCCUUAAAUUGCAGUUAAGUCUUCUAAAAAUAAACACAUAUCUCAUGUUCCCUUGUCACCGAAGUGAGAAUCUUCCGGUUCUUGUAAAACUAGCACCAAAUAAAUGCAAGUUCGAAGUUGAUAGACCGUCGUCGGUUACGGCCGGAUACGAUACGCUUAAUGAUUAACGUAGAAUAGGAUACGAUACGUUUAAUGAUUAACGUAGAAUAAUAAAGUAGACGGCGUCGUUUUGGCAGGGCCAACUAGAAAUAGUGUUGUCAACAAACUGUGAAUUAGAAUUGACUUUAUAGAGAGAGUGAAGAAGAAGAAGAAAAAGAGAGAAGAAAGGAUGGGAUCGUUUCUGUCAAGCUUGCUUGGAGCAGGGCCGGCGGCGGCGGAUGACUCGGCGGAGUCAUCGGAGAAGUCUCGAGUGACGUCGUUUCACUCGGCUGCCAGGUGGCAGCUCCACUUGAAGGAAUUCAAGGACACCUCCAAACUGGUACUUGUUCUUCUUCUCUAAUUACUAAUUGAGCUUCAAGACUUCUGAAAUUAGGGAUCUGAGUUUGAAAUGCUGCCUAUGUGAAGCUGGUGAUCGAUUUCUCGGCGUCGUGGUGCGGGCCCUGCAAGUUCAUUGAGCCGGCCAUCCACGCCAUGGCGGAGAAGUUCACCGACGUUGACUUCGCCAAGAUCGACGUCGACGAGCUAUCUGUACGUUCAGUUUCACUCUAUCGUCAUCGUGAUUCGAUAUUUAUAAGUUUUUUGAUGGUGCGAUCAAGUUUGGAUGUUGAUUGUUUUGUUUCGAUUUGGCUGAAAACAGGAAGUGUCUCAAGAGUUUGGGGUGCAGGCAAUGCCGACCUUUGUGCUUUUGAAGAAUGGGAAGGAGGUGGAUCGGGUUGUUGGUGCCAAGAAAGAUGAACUUGAGAAGAAGGUUGAGAAGCACCGCUGAUUCUGAAUAAAGCUAAGUUUUCAUUUCACUACUUAUAAGUUUGUGAUUUACUAAUUGUUACCGAAAAUUGCUCAGAUUUCUCGGUUUGAUUCAAAAAAAACUUAUUAUCAAAUUCUAGUUUUGUUGUUAAGUUUUGUAUAAGUUUGUGAUUUACUAAUUGUUACCAGAUUUCUCGGUUUGAUUAAAAAAAAAAAACUUAUUAUAAGUUUUUGUGGCAUUACUAAUUUACUAUAAGCCUCGUUUGGUAACAUGGAAAAGAAAUUCGUUCCUCAGUAUUUCCCACGGGAAAGGAAAAUUAGUGGGAAACUUAUAUUCCUUUCUGUUGUUUGCUGCAAACAACAAACGUUGGGAAAUCAAUGAGAAAACAUGUGUUUGUUUCCAUUUUGAUGUUUGGUUUGUGCAAGGAAAGGAAACUAAGUUAUAUUGAAAUCUCAUUUAUGUCCUCAUAUAUAUUAAAAUAUAUAGUUAGACAAGUUUCAUAGAUAAAAUUCUUAACAAAAAAAUUCAGUAAGGAUAUAAAUAUAUUUAAACUAUGUAAUUAAUGCACAUUUAAUGUUGGGAAAGUAGAAAGGAAAGUGAAUCCUUUGGAGGAUGGAAGGACUGAAUUUCCCACAUAUUUUCCUGUCUUAAAGGAAAGUUGUUUCUUUUCCAUAGGAAAGUAACAACUUUCCUUUCCCAAGCCCUUAAUUCCACGAAACACAAACGAGGAUAAGCAUACUGCAUACUUGUUACAUGAUUCUAUGUUUAAGCAAACACUAUGUCCUACUGCAAACCAUAAGCUAAAUUAAUCGCAUCUUAGACAGUGUACGAUUGCUGAAUUGUGUCGAUGUCCAGGCCCUUCAUCCUCACCACUGAUUCGACAUGCCCCUUCAGGGUGCCGAACUCCCUCAGCCUGCAAAAAUGCCAUGUUUUUUGCCUCUUCAUCACACUUGUUAUGUUUUGAAAGCUUAAAUGAAUAGAAUAUAGAAAAUGUAGUACCUGGCAAUUUCUGCACGUCUUUUUGCCUCUUCAGCCAUCUGAUUAAGUUCUGUGUAAGAACUGCGUUCACCAAACUUUUUGCUGUCCGGCGGUUGCAGACCGUGGAGAGUCCUCUGCGCGUGUGCCCAUCUAAGCUCCCUUUCUUCCUUUCCGAAAUGCUUCUUUCUUGUGAAGGCAAUCUGCAAAGCAAAGAAUUGCAAAUUAAAAAUUAAACAGAAAGAGUAGUAAACUAGAGUGAUAAUGCUCCUAUCCUACAUACCCUCUGCUCAAAUACGAGAUCCCAGGCUCUCCCACUCAGUGCGUAUCGGAUGAUGAACUUGAGGAUAUCAAGUGGAAGAUAGAAGACGAGAUUAUAUAACCAAACCACACCAGCCCAACCCCACCCAAUUCCCUCUAUCGCCGCGAAACUCCAAUCGGCAUAGACAGCAAUGAGUGUAGCAAUCUGCUCAGGAUGGAGAUUUAGCAUUGAUGAACUGAUCUUUUCCCAAUAUAAUCAAAAUAUUCAAGUACCAAAAUAAUAGUACCAAAACUUUCACUCACCAGCUGAGCAAUAACAAAAGCUGCUACAAGUAAAAGACCAGGUCGCUCGAGAAUAGACCAACUACGUGCCCGGGUGACGAAUAUGAGAGCCUGACUGAUGGUACUCACUUGCAGGUACACUGCAGCAGCAAGCUUCCUAUAGCUGUCAUUAUCCUUUCUAUGAAGGCUUGGAACCCCAAAGUGACGCUGGAAAUGACAAAGGUAAGUGUUAGAGAGAAACCAAGUCUAGAAAACACCCAUAUAACAUAAUUAGCAAUAUCCACAUAGGAACAAGAAAAUCACACUUACAGGGAAGAAGUCUGUAUCGUAUGCUGCCCAAAAGAAAAUGACCGUCAUAACUGCUAAGU
rnacentral:lncRNA from 1 species